CCUACGGGCGGCAGCAGUGAGGAAUAUUGGUCAAUGGGCGCUAGCCUGAACCAGCCAAGUAGCGUGAAGGAUGACUGCUCUAUGGGUGGUAAACUCUUUUUAUAUGGGAAUAAAGUGCAGUAUGUAUACUGCUUUGCAUGUAACUGUUGAAUAAGGAUCGGCUAACGCCGUCUCAGUAGCCGCGGUAAUACGGAGGCUCCGGGCGCUAUCCGGAUUUAUUGGGUUUAAAGGGAGCGUAGGCGGGUUGUUAAGUCAGUUGUGAAAGUUUGCGGCUCAACCGUAAAAUUGCAGUUGAUACUGGCAUCCUUGAGUACAGUAGAGGUGGGCGGAAUUCGUGGUGUAGCGGUGAAAUGCUUAGAUAUCACGAAGAACUCCGGUUGCGAAGGCAGCCUGCUGGACUGUAACUGACGCUGAUGCUCGAAAGUGUGGGGAUCGAACAGGAUUAGAUACCCUGGUAGUC
rnacentral:rRNA from 1 species